rnacentral:rRNA from 1 species
GACGAACGCUGGCGGCGUGCUUAACACAUGCAAGUCGAACGGAAAGGCCUGCUUUCCCUUGUGGAUUGCGGGUACUCGAGUGGCGAACGGGUGAGUAACACGUGAGUGAUCUGCCCCCAACUUGGGUAUAAGCCUGGGAAACUGGGUCUAAUUCCCGAUAGGACUGCAGGGUGGUGCCUGUGGAGGAAAACGAUUUUCUAGUGGUUGGGGAUGAGCUCGCGGCCUAUCAGCUUGUUGGUGGGGUAAUGGCCUACCAAGGCGGCGACGGGUAGCCGGCCUGAGAGGGUGGACGGCCACAUUGGGACUGAGAUACGGCCCAGACUCCUACGGGAGGCAGCAGUGGGGAAUAUUGCACAAUGGGCGGAAGCCUGAUGCAGCGACGCCGCGUGGGGGAUGACGGCCUUCGGGUUGUAAACUCCUUUCGACCGCGAGGAAGCCACCUGGUUGGAAGGGUGGUGACGGUAGUGGUAGAAGAAGCACCGGCUAACUACGUG